rnacentral:lncRNA from 1 species
AAGUCAAAUGUGGUCAGUUCCAUUGGGAAGUGGGGUUUUCAUCAGCAGGGACUCUGCGGCAACUCACCUGCUUUCUGCUCCAAGAGUCCAGCACCCUGAGAUCCUGAUGCCAGGGUAAGCUGGGGGACUGCUCAUAGCCAAAGAUGCAGAAACCAGAAUGAAAGGCCUACAGCAGAGACUGAAGAGAGGAAGGCUCAUCACUUGGACCACCAAAGAACUAAGAAAGGUCUCAAGAUCCCUCUGCUAUGGUUAAAUCUAGUCAAGCAACCCAUCCCGGUGCUACUGUGGAAUUCCUGCAAGAGGCAGGAGGCGGUUCAGUCAUCAAAGCCAUUUUUACAAGGCAUCAAGGAGUCCUGGCUCUUGUGUUUGGAAGACGGGUCAGCUGAGGUCCGGAACCAAUUCUAGGGCAAGAAAACUUGCAAUAAAGACUGAUAACUUUGGUCUAAA